AUACAGUAGAUAUUACCAUUAGGAGUCAGUUAGAAAGGUAAUCAUACAGUAGAUAUUACCAUUAGGAGUCAGUUAGAAAGGUAAUCAUACAGUAGAUAUUACCAUUAGGAGUCAGUUAGAAAGGUAAUCAUACAGUAGAUAUUACCAUUAGGAGUCAGUUAGAAAGGUAAUCAUACAGUAGAUAUUACCAUUAGGAGUCAGUUAGAAAGGUAAUCAUACAGUAGAUAUUACCAUUAGGAGUCAGUUAGAAAGGUAAUCAUACAGUAGAUAUUACCAUUAGGAGUCAGUUAGAAAGGUAAUCAUACAGUAGAUAUUACCAUUAGGAGUCAGUUAGAAAGGUAAUCAUACAG